rnacentral:rRNA from 1 species
GGGUGAGUAACGCGUGGGAAUCUACCCAUCACUACGGAACAACUCCGGGAAACUGGAGCUAAUACCGUAUACGCCCUUCGGGAGAAAGAUUUAUCGGUGAUGGAUGAGCCCGCGUCGGAUUAGCUAGUUGGUGGGGUAAUGGCCUACCAAGGCGACGAUCCAUAGCUGGUCUGAGAGGAUGAUCAGCCACACUGGGACUGAGACACGGCCCAGACUCCUACGGGAGGCAGCAGUGGGGAAUAUUGGACAAUGGGCGAAAGCCUGAUCCAGCCAUGCCGCGUGAGUGAUGAAGGCCCUAGGGUUGUAAAGCUCUUUCAACGGUGAAGAUAAUGACGGUAACCGUAGAAGAAGCCCCGGCUAACUUCGUGCCAGCAGCCGCGGUAAUACGAAGGGGGCUAGCGUUGUUCGGAAUUACUGGGCGUAAAGCGCACGUAGGCGGAUUGUUUAGUGAGGGGUGAAAUCCCAGGGCUCAACCCUGGA